rnacentral:rRNA from 1 species
UACGUAGGGUGCGAGCGUUGUCCGGAAUUAUUGGGCGUAAAGGGCUCGUAGGCGGUCUGUUGCGUCGGGAGUGAAAACUCAGGGCUUAACCCUGAGCCUGCUUCCGAUACGGGCAGACUAGAGGUAUGCAGGGGAGAACGGAAUUCCUGGUGUAGCGGUGAAAUGCGCAGAUAUCAGGAGGAACACCGGUGGCGAAGGCGGCCUGCUGGGCAGUUUAGCUGACACUGAGGCGCGACAGCGUGGGGAGCAAACAGG